rnacentral:rRNA from 1 species
GAUGAACGCUGGCGGCGUGCCUAAUACAUGCAAGUCGAGCGAACAGAUGAGGAGCUUGCUCCUCUGACGUUAGCGGCGGACGGGUGAGUAACACGUGGAUAACCUACCUAUCAGACUGGGAUAACUUCGGGAAACCGGAGCUAAUACCGGAUAAUAUAUUGAACCGCAUGGUUCAAUAGUGAAAGACGGUUUUGCUGUCACUUAUAGAUGGAUCCGCGCCGCAUUAGCUAGUUGGUAAGGUAACGGCUUACCAAGGCAACGAUGCGUAGCCGACCUGAGAGGGUGAUCGGCCACACUGGAACUGGGACACGGUCCAGACUCCUACGGGAGGCAGCAGUAGGGAAUCUUCCGCAAUGGGCGAAAGCCUGACGGAGCAACGCCGCGUGAGUGAUGAAGGUCUUCGGAUCGUAAAACUCUGUUAUUAGGGAAGAACAAAUGUGUAAGUAGCUAUGCACGUCUUGACGGUACCUAAUCAGAAAGCCACGGCUAACUACGUG